rnacentral:tRNA from 1 species
UGGCCCCAUGGUGAAACGGAAGAUCGCGCGCGGCUACGGACCGCGAGGUGGAGGUUCGAUUCCUCCUGGGGCAACCA